ensembl:antisense
GCCCAGAGCUGCACCUGACUCCCAGGGCGAGGACAGAAGAAGGACGUGGGAUGAAGGACUCUACCUCCCACAAACCAACUCCAAAGAGAACAAGACUGUGUUCAAGAGACACUUAAGAGAACACUUAAGGCGGGUCACAGCUACGGAGUGCGCCUGCGCAGUACUGCAUCCGGAGUGAGGAAUGUCAAUCAAACUCAUGACAGACUGACAUCUCCUCAGAUGAGCCUCAGGCAAACAGUUGUUCCAGAAGGAGGCACAGUCCUCAGAGGAGACAGCAAUUGAUCCAGGGCGUCACCCCAGGACUUCCUAGUGCAGCAAGAGGUGGAGGAGGACAAUUGUGACCCUGACCAUCCAGACCACGAUCAGGACAAGGAUAAAGUUGUGAGUGUGUGUUCAACAACACACCCACAAAAAAAAUGAAAAAUAGAAAUAUUAGAAAACAGAAAUAUUUUACUUUGGCUGCAAACUGUGUACUCUUUCUUAUUGCUAUGACAAAAGCAAAAAAUGUUUAAAAAUGACAUGUGUGAAGUUCAACUUUUACAUUGAGAUUAAUUUAUUUAUUAUUGAUGUUUGUUUUGUUUAACUUAACAUCAAGUAGACAGCGUUCAUUUUUCUAUUCUUUUUCUCAAAUGA